rnacentral:rRNA from 1 species
GGGAGGGUGGAGAGAGGAAGGGGCCGGAGGCGGAGAGGGAGGAGGGCAGUGGCGGGGAGAACGGGAACAACUGCUCGUUGCAACAGAUCGCCGCCGCCGUUUGUCUGUGUUCUCUGGCCAUCGCGCCGCCCUCUGCUGCAUACCGAGCGGCCUCUCUCCCGCUGGUUGAUUGCACGCUGUCGGCGCUUUGCCCAGUCCCGAUCGACACGAGGCUGCCAUUGCGGUUGAGCCCACGAUCUGCAAAGCGGAUCCUUUUCUUCAUUCUUUCUCUUACUGAUGAUCCUAAUCCUCCAAAUAGAGAGAGAAAUGAGAAGUACUCGAAGCCUCCUUCGUAAAUAUUUCUUGCUUAGUGACUUAUUCUCCAAACACACUACAUACUUAUCCUCCAACUUUGCUUUGGGUCCGUCAAUCUAAACAGUGGAUCAGUAUGUGGGAGCAUUCAAGAGCAAACAAAACGUCGGAUUCAUCGCGGGGGAGUUUUUGUUGCAUAGCUCAUUUUGGUGCUAUUGUAACUUGUGAUGCGUAGAUAGAUCAAUCCAAUGGCUUGACAGUGGAUCAGAACUAUUGUAUCACUUUUUCAGAUAUAUUGAUCUUCACAUUCUUAGUUGGCA